AAUGAACGCUGGCGGCAGGCCUAACACAUGCAAGUCGAACGGGUCCUUCGGGACUAGUGGCGGACGGGUGAGUAACGCGUGGGAACGUGCCCUUUGCUACGGAAUAGCCUCUGGAAACGGAGAGUAAUACCGUAUGUGCCCUUUGGGGGAAAGAUUUAUCGUGCAAAGGAGCGGCCCGCGUUGGAUUAGGUAGGUGGUGGGGUAAUGGCCUACCAAACCGACGACCCAUAGCUGGUUUGCUAGGAUGAUCAGCCACACUGAGACUGAGACACGGCCCAGACUCCUACGGGAUGCAGAAGUGGGGAUUCUUGAGCAAUGGGGGAAACUCUGAUAUAGCCAUGCCGCGUGAUCGCUGAAGGCCUUAGCGUUGUAAAGAUAUUUCAGGUGGGAAGAUAUUGACGGUACCACCAGAAGAAGCCCCGGCUAACUCCGUGCCAGCCGCCGCAGUAACAC
rnacentral:rRNA from 1 species